AUGAACGCUAGCUACAGGCUUAACACAUGCAAGUCGAGGGGCAUCAGGGUGUAGCAAUACACCGCUGGCGACCGGCGCACGGGUGAGUAACACGUAUCCAACCUGCCCUUUACUCGGGGAUAGCCUUUCGAAAGAAAGAUUAAUACCCGAUGGUAUAACAUGACCUCCUGGUUUUGUUAUUAAAGAAUUUCGGUAGAGGAUGGGGAUGCGUUCCAUUAGGCAGUUGGCGGGGUAACGGCCCACCAAACCUUCGAUGGAUAGGGGUUCUGAGAGGAAGGUCCCCCACAUUGGAACUGAGACACGGUCCAAACUCCUACGGGAGGCAGCAGUGAGGAAUAUUGGUCAAUGGGCGAGAGCCUGAACCAGCCAAGUAGCGUGAAGGAUGACCGCCCUAUGGGUUGUAAACUUCUUUUAUAUGGGAAUAAAGGGUGCCACGUGUGGCAUUUUGUAUGUACCAUAUGAAUAAGGAUCGGCUAACUCCGUGCCAGCAGCCGCGGUAAUACGGAGGAUCCGAGCGUUAUCCGGAUUUAUUGGGUUUAAAGGGAGCGUAGGUGGACAUGUAAGUCAGUUGUGAAAGUUUGCGGCUCAACCGUAAAAUUGCAGUUGAAACUGCGUGUCUUGAGUACAGUAGAGGUGGGCGGAAUUCGUGGUGUAGCGGUGAAAUGCUUAGAUAUCACGAAGAACUCCGAUUGCGAAGGCAGCUCACUGGACUGCAACUGACACUGAUGCUCGAAAGUGUGGGUAUCAAACAGGAUUAGAUACCCUGGUAGUCCACGCCGUAAACGAUGAGUGCUAAGUGUUAGGGGGUUUCCGCCCCUUAGUGCUGCAGCUAACGCAUUAAGCACUCCGCCUGGGGAGUACGACCGCAAGGUUGAAACUCAAAGGAAUUGACGGGGGCCCGCACAAGCGGUGGAGCAUGUGGUUUAAUUCGAAGCAACGCGAAGAACCUUACCAGGUCUUGACAUCCCGAUGCUAUUCUUAGAGAUAGGAAGUUACUUCGGUACAUCGGAGACAGGUGGUGCAUGGUUGUCGUCAGCUCGUGUCGUGAGAUGUUGGGUUAAGUCCCGCAACGAGCGCAACCCUUAAGCUUAGUUGCCAUCAUUAAGUUGGGCACUCUAAGUUGACUGCCGGUGACAAACCGGAGGAAGGUGGGGAUGACGUCAAAUCAGCACGGCCCUUACGUCCGGGGCUACACACGUGUUACAAUGGGGGGUACAGAAGGCCGCUACACAGCGAUGUGAUGCCAAUCCCUAAAGCCCCUCUCAGUUCGGAUCGAAGUCUGCAACCCGACUUCGUGAAGCUGGAUUCGCUAGUAAUCGCGCAUCAGCCACGGCGCGGUGAAUACGUUCCCGGGCCUUGUACACACCGCCCGUCAAGCCAUGGGAGCCGGGGGUACCUGAAGUACGUAACCGCAAGGAGCGUCCUAGGGUAAAACUGGUGACUGGGGCU
rnacentral:rRNA from 1 species